GUUUAGGUAGCUUAAUUUUUAAAGUUUGGCAUUGAAAAUGCCACGAUGAUUUUUUUUCUCUAAACA
rnacentral:tRNA from 1 species